rnacentral:tRNA from 1 species
GGGGUUAUAGCUCAGUUGGUAGAGCACCUGCAUGGCAUGCAGGGGGUCAGCGGUUCGAAUCCGCUUAGCUCCA